GGCUCUUUAGCUUAAUUGGUAAAGUCCUCCGCCCAUAACGGAGUAAGUGCAGGUUCAAGCCCUGCAAGAGCCA
rnacentral:tRNA from 1 species